rnacentral:tRNA from 1 species
GAUAAAGAAAGGAGUUUAACCAAUGUGAGCAGGACUACAGCCUGCCGCCUAGCAUUCGGCCACUUUACC